rnacentral:rRNA from 1 species
UACGUAGGGUGCAAGCGUUAAUCGGAAUCACUGGGCGUAAAGCGUGCGCAGGCGGUCCGUUAAGACAGAUGUGAAAUCCCCGGGCUUAACCUGGGAACUGCAUUUGUGACUGGCGGACUCGAGUAUGGCAGAGGGGGGUAGAAUUCCACGUGUAGCAGUGAAAUGCGUAGAGAUGUGGAGGAAUACCGAUGGCGAAGGCAGCCCCCUGGGCCAAUACUGACGCUCAUGCACGAAAGCGUGGGGAGCAAACAGG